UCUCUCUCCUUUCUGUUUUGGUGAGGAAGAUUGGCCCUGAGCUAACAUCUGUGACAGUCUUCCUCCACUCUGUAUAGGGAUGCCACCACAGCGUGGGUUGAUGAGCGGUGGGUGUGUCCGCACCAGGGACCUGAACCAGCGAACCCUGGGCGGCUGAAGAGGAGCGUGGGAACAUAACCACCCUGCCGCUGGGAUGGCCCCAUCGCGUCUGGCUUGCUUGAAAUAGCACAUUAAAGCUGUCUUUCCAUUGUGAUCCAGCUUCCAUUUUGGCUGUUGAGAAAUUAGGGUGGCAGCACACUGGUCCUGGCCAGGUGACUCAGCACAUACAUGAGGGUCAUCACACUGUUGAAGGAGUCCAAAAAGCGUUCUGGCAGCUGAGGCUCCAAAAUGCCUGCCAGCAGAUGUUUCUGUAUAAAAACAGAAAGAGAAAGAGAAAGAGAGAGAGCUCACGUUGCCUGGUUCCUGUAUGCAAAAGUUUCAACUACCACGGCUUAAAGAAGACCAGUAGUCCCACAAGGUGGUUUUCAUGUCCGUGACCCCAGUGUAGAAACUGUGCUGCUGCCUGUUCAAAGUUUCUGCUACCUGUUCAGUCUGCAGAUCACUAGCUAGAUCACGAAGGCACAUCAUGAUCAGUGACAACAGUGAUCUGUCGGUGGUUACUCAGGGCAUAUCUGUUUUUCACGUCACACAGACGACAAAAUGUAUUGUUUUGUUGCCAUCUUGUCUCCCCCCUGAAAUGGAUAAUCGAAAGAGGGAAUUGCCCAAGAAAGAUGGAAAUGCAGCAAAGAAGUGAAAAGUGAUGAUGCGAGAAGUGAGCUUGGAUGUGAUUAGGAGACAGCUGAGCAGGGGUAUGAUGAUGCUGUUUGAGACACUGUAGGUGUGUGACCAGAGGAGCUUCAUGAAGGCGAGCUUACCAACAUGAACGAGCCCAGGCUGAAGACGUCCCAGGGGAGGUGACGCUGGUGAAAACUUGGACGUUAAGGGAACUCUGAAACAUCGCAGGACAGUGAAAGUGCGAAGAAUGCAAUGUUGAAAGCUGAUCAAAAGUUAGAAAGGACUAGGGCAAUCCAUCAAGUCAUAGAAAAUAUACAAUGCGAAGAGGCAAGCACUGUUGAAACUGCUCUUUUUUAUUGAGGUAACGUUGCUUUAUAGCAUUGUGUGGAUGUCAGGUGCACAGCAUUAUAUUUCACUUUCUGUAUUGAUUACAUCGUGUUCCCCACCAGAAGUCUAGUUGCCAUCCGUCGUUGUACCCAUGUGCCCUUUUACCCUCCCUCAACCCCGUUCCCCUCUGGUAACCAUCAGUUGGUUCUCUGUGUCUAUGUGUUUGGUUGUUUAUCUUCCACACACGAGUGAAAUCAUAUGGUAUUUCUCUUUCUCUGUGUGACUUAUUUCUCUUCGCGUAAUACCCUCGAGGUCCAUCCGUGUUGUCACAAAUAGCAAGAUGUCAAACUACUCUUAAUAUGAUUUGUUUUUUAAAAAUCACAUUUAAUUCUCAGUGUUUUUACUUACAGUAUACUAAAUAAAUAUCAGCCUUGCUAUUUUUAAGUUUUCUAUGUAUUUUAAAUUGCAAGUAAGAGAGUUUUUAAUGUUUUGAUGAAAAAAUUUGGAUGUCACUGGACAAGGGUAUUUUCCCCAUUGAUUGAUCAGAUUGCCUUGUUCAGUUUCAGCUUGCACAGUAGUUUUUCUGGUCCUGCAGCAUCCUUCCAAGUGAGGAUUGUGUGUGUCUGCAGUUGUGUCAAUAAUAUUGCACCAUAACAUCAACAGUGCAUUUCAACUGUGUAAAUAAUGAGAAAAUUGCCCCAUCUCUAAUUAUACAGUGCUUGGGCCUACCAAAACUGUCGAAGGUGUUCUUAAUACUUUACUGCCUUUGGUAUACACAGUUGUAUUAAUUGUCUAUGGCUGCAUAACAACCACCCCAAACUUAGUGGCUUAAAACGACAAUAUUUAUUAUGCUCACAGAUUCUGUGUGCUAAUAA
rnacentral:lncRNA from 1 species